AGAGUUUGAUCCUGGCUCAGAUUGAACGCUGGCGGCAGGCCUAACACAUGCAAGUCGAGCGGAAACGAGUUAACUGACCCUUCGGGUGACGUUAACGGCGUCGAGCGGCGGACGGGUGAGUAAUGCCUGGGAAAUUGCCCUGAUGUGGGGGAUAACCAUUGGAAACGAUGGCUAAUACCACAUAAUAGCUUCGGCUCAAAGAGGGGGACCUUCGGGCCUCUCGCGUCAGGAUAUGCCCAGGUGGGAUUAGCUAGUUGGUGAGGUAAUGGCUCACCAAGGCGACGAUCCCUAGCUGGUCUGAGAGGGUGAUCAGCCACACUGGAACUGAGACACGGUCCAGACUCCUACGGGAGGCAGCAGUGGGGAAUAUUGCACAAUGGGCGCAAGCCUGAUGCAGCCAUGCCGCGUGUGUGAAGAAGGCCUUCGGGUUGUAAAGCACUUUCAGCAGUGAGGAAGGCGGGUACGUUAAUAGCGUGCUCGUUUGACGUUAGCUGCAGAAGAAGCACCGGCUAACUCCGUGCCAGCAGCCGCGGUAAUACGGAGGGUGCGAGCGUUAAUCGGAAUUACUGGGCGUAAAGCGCAUGCAGGUGGUUCGUUAAGUCAGAUGUGAAAGCCCGGGGCUCAACCUCGGAACUGCAUUUGAAACUGGCGGACUAGAGUACUGUAGAGGGGGUAGAAUUUCAGGUGUAGCGGUGAAAUGCGUAGAGAUCUGAAGGAAUACCGGUGGCGAAGGCGGCCCCCUGGACAGAUACUGACACUCAGAUGCGAAAGCGUGGGGAG
rnacentral:rRNA from 1 species